rnacentral:rRNA from 1 species
UACGGAGGGUGCAAGCGUUAAUCGGAAUUACUGGGCGUAAAGAGUGCGUAGGUGGUUUAAUAAGUUAUCUGUGAAAGCCCCGGGCUCAACCUGGGAAGGUCAGAUAAAACUGUUAGACUUUGAGUAUGGGAGAGGGUAGUGGAAUUUCCGGUGUAGCGGUGAAAUGCGUAGAGAUCGGAAGGAACACCAGUGGCGAAGGCGGCUACCUGGCCUAAUACUGACACUGAGGCACGAAAGCGUGGGGAGCAAACAGG